rnacentral:rRNA from 1 species
UACGUAGGUGGCAAGCGUUGUCCGGAUUUAUUGGGUUUAAAGGUGCGUAGGCGGCCUUGUAAGUCAGUGCUGAAAUAUCCCGGCUUAACCGGGAGGGUGGCAUUGAUACUGCAGGGCUUGAGUAAAGUUGAGGUUGGCGGAAUUGACGGUGUAGCGGUGAAAUGCUUAGAUAUCGUCAAGAACACCGAUAGUGAAGACAGCUAA